AUACGUAGGGGGCGAGCGUUGUCCGGAAUUACUGGGCGUAAAGGGUACGCAGGCGGUCAUGUAAGUCAGAUGUGAAAUCCUAAGGCUUAACCUUAGUAAGCAUUUGAAACUGCGUGGCUUGAGUUAAGGAGAGGAAAGUGGAAUUCCUGGUGUAGCGGUGAAAUGCGUAGAUAUCAGGAGGAAUACCAGUGGCGAAGGCGACUUUCUGGCCUUAAACUGACGCUGAGGUACGAAAGCGUGGGGAGCAAACAGGAUUAGAUACCCUGGUAGUCCACGCUGUAAACGAUGAGUGCUAGGUGUCGGGUGUCAAAGCUCGGUGCCGCAGUAAACACAUUAAGCACUCCGCCUGGGGAGUACGUUGGCAAGAAUGAA
rnacentral:rRNA from 1 species